rnacentral:rRNA from 1 species
AUUGAACGCUGGCGGCAGGCCUAACACAUGCAAGUCGAGCGGUAGCACAGAGAGCUUGCUCUCGGGUGACGAGCGGCGGACGGGUGAGUAAUGUCUGGGAAACUGCCUGAUGGAGGGGGAUAACUACUGGAAACGGUAGCUAAUACCGCAUAACGUCGCAAGACCAAAGUGGGGGACCUUCGGGCCUCAUGCCAUCAGAUGUGCCCAGAUGGGAUUAGCUAGUAGGUGGGGUAACGGCUCACCUAGGCGACGAUCCCUAGCUGGUCUGAGAGGAGGACCAGCCAAACUGGAACUGAGACACGGUCCAGACUCCUACGGGAGGCAGCAGUGGGGAAUAUUGCACAAUGGGCGCAAGCCUGAUGCAGCCAUGCCGCGUGUGUGAAGAAGGCCUUCGGGUUGUAAAGCACUUUCAGCGGGGAGGAAGGCGGUGAGGUUAAUAACCUCACCGAUUGACGUUACCCGCAGAAGAAGCACCGGCUAACUCCGUGCCAGCCGCCGCCGUAAAAC